AUGUACAUCAAGAUUGAGACAAUGAGGCUUGACUGGUACUCAUGGCCAAAAAAUCAAAAGGUUAUACGCGCUGACCUAUACCAGGGUCUUGUUGACACCGUCUAUGCCGGCGAGUCACAUGGUGAUUGGAUUGGCAAGAGAAUUGUGCUUCCACGUACAUUUCCUGGUGGUGACCGUGACAUGCAGCGCAGGUUUCUGGAUGCGAUGGCAAUAGUACAACGAUGGGGUAAACCGGAUUAUUUUAUCACCAUGACAUGCAAUCCCUACUGGGAGGAGAUAACCAAGGAAUUAUUGCCUGGACAACUGCCGCAAGACCGUCCAGACCUUGUGGCAAGAGUAUACAGAGCUAAACAGCGAAGUAUGAUGGACCUACUAAUUAAGGGUAAGCAUUUCGGAGAAGGUGCGACUUAUGUACAUGUCACUGAGUUUCAGAAAUGA
rnacentral:rRNA from 1 species